UACGUAGGGGGCUAGCGUUGUCCGGAUUUAUUGGGCGUAAAGAGCGUGUAGGCGGCCAUGUAGGUCCGGUGUGAAAACUCGAGGCUUAACCUCGAGAUGUCAUCGGAAACCAUUUGGCUAGAGUCCGGAAGAGGAGAGUGGAAUUCCUGGUGUAGCGGUGGAAUGCGCAGAUAUCAGGAGGAACACCGGUGGCGAAGGCGGCCCACUGGUCCGGUACUGACGCUGAGGUGCGAAAGCGUGGGGAGCAAACAGG
rnacentral:rRNA from 1 species